AGAGUUUGAUCCUGGCUCAGAUUGAACGCUGGCGGCAGGCUUAACACAUGCAAGUCGAGCGGUAGCACAGGGGAGCUUGCUCCCUGGGUGACGAGCGGCGGACGGGUGAGUAAUGUCUGGGAGACUGCCUGAUGGAGGGGGAUAACUACUGUAAACGGUAGCUAAUACCGCAUAACGUCGCAAGACCAAAGAGGGGGACCUUCGGGCCUCUUGCCAUCAGAUGUGCCCAGAUGGGAUUAGCUAGUAGGUGGGGUAAUGGCUCACCUAGGCGACGAUCCCUAGCUGGUCUGAGAGGAUGACCAGCCACACUGGAACUGAGACACGGUCCAGACUCCUACGGGAGGCAGCAGUGGGGAAUAUUGCACAAUGGGCGCAAGCCUGAUGCAGCCAUGCCGCGUGUGUGAAGAAGGCCUUCGGGUUGUAAAGCACUUUCAGCGAGGAGGAAGGUGGUGAGCUUAAUACGUUCAUCAAUUGACGUUACUCGCAGAAGAAGCACCGGCUAACUCCGUGCCUGCAGCCGCGGUAAUACGGAGGGUGCAAGCGUUAAUCGGAAUUACUGGGCGUAAAGCGCACGCAGGCGGUUUGUUAAGUCAGAUGUGAAAUCCCCGGGCUCAACCUGGGAACUGCAUUUGAAACUGGCAAGCUAGAGUCUCGUAGAGGGGGGUAGAAUUCCAGGUGUAGCGGUGAAAUGCGUAGAGAU
rnacentral:rRNA from 1 species